rnacentral:rRNA from 1 species
UACGAAGGGGGCUAGCGUUGCUCGGAAUCACUGGGCGUAAAGGGCGCGUAGGCGGCGCACCAAGUCAGGCGUGAAAGCCCUGGGCUCAACCCGGGAAUUGCGCUUGAGACUGGUGUGCUUGAGUACGGGAGAGGAUAGUGGAAUUCCCAGUGUAGAGGUGAAAUUCGUAGAUAUUGGGAAGAACACCGGUGGCGAAGGCGGCUAUCUGGACCGUAACUGACGCUGAGGCGCGAAAGCGUGGGGAGCAAACAGG